GACGAACGCUGGCGGCGUGCCUAAUACAUGCAAGUCGAGCGAAGUUUUUCUGGUGCUUGCACUAGAAAAACUUAGCGGCGCACGGGUGAGUAACACGUAAAGAACCUGCCUCAUAGACUGGGACAACUAUUGGAAACGAUAGCUAAUACCGGAUAACAGUAUUUCUCGCAUGAGAGAUAUUUAAAAGUUGGUUAUGCUAACACUAUGAGACGGCUUUGCGGUGCAUUAGCUAGUUGGUGGGGUAAAGGCCCACCAAGGCGACGAUGCAUAGCCGACCUGAGAGGGUGAUCGGCCACACUGGGACUGAGACACGGCCCAGACUCCUAAGGGAGGCAGCAGUAGGGAAUCUUCCGCAAUGGGCGAAAGCCUGACGGAGCAACGCCGCGUGAGUGAAGAAGGAUUUCGGUUCGUAAAGCUCUGUUGUUAGGGAAGAAUGGAUAUGUAGUAACUAUACAUGUAAGAGACGGUACCUAACCAGAAAGCCACGGCUAACUACGUG
rnacentral:rRNA from 1 species